UACGUAGGGGGCAAGCGUUGUCCGGAUUUAUUGGGCGUAAAGAGCGUGUAGGCGGCCAGGUAGGUCUGCUGUGAAAACUCGAGGCUCAACCUCGAGACGUCGGCGGAAACCAUCUGGCUAGAGUCCGGAAGAGGAGAGUGGAAUUCCUGGUGUAGCGGUGAAAUGCGCAGAUAUCAGGAAGAACACCCGUGGCGAAGGCGGCUC
rnacentral:rRNA from 1 species